UAGAGAAGAGGAACUACCCAGUUAACCAUUCUGAACCUGGAAGUCAAGCUCUUCAUCGCUGAUAAUACUGCUCUUUUCAAGAGUGGGAAUGUAGGUC
rnacentral:rRNA from 1 species